AGGGACCAGUGGUGACUCAGUGAACCAGACAGAAGGCCCAGUGACUGUCUUAGAGGGGGCUCUCAUGACCCUGAACUGCACUUACCAGACCACGUAUACAACUUCCUAUCCUUUCUGUUGCAGCGGGUGGAGGUUGCUCGUCACUGCGGUGCACGGGCUUCUCACCGCGGCGGCUCCUCUUGGUGCGGAGCGCGGGCUCCCGCUGCACCGGCUUCAGUAGCGGCGGCGCACAGGAUCCAUCAUGGCCCAGAAAGUAACACAAAACCAGCCAGAAAUUCCUGUGCUGGAGAAGGAGGAUGCAACCUUGAACUGUGCAUAUGAAGCUGUUAGUUAUUCUUAUUAUUUAUUCUGGUACAAGCAACCACCAAGUGGGAAAAUGAUUUUCCUUAUUCAUCAGGAGUCUUACAAUGAACUGAAUACAACAAAAGGUCAGUAUUUUUUGAACUUCAAGAAAGCAACGAGUUCCACCAGCCUCACCAUCACAGACUUAACAGCUCGAGGAUUCAGCAGUGUAUUUCUGUGCUCUGAGAGAUCACAGUGAUGCCGGUGCCUGAGGGAGCCCCACAGAAACCUCAGAUGUCAGCAUGUGGAGUCCCCCAGCUAUGAACACCUUCGUGAGAUUCUCAGUAAGGACAGAAACAGGUAGAGAGGUUAGAAGUGAAAACCUCACUGUAAGGAAAAUGCUAUCUCUUUGGCUCAGAGAACAUAUCUCAAAGUGUCAUUCAUCAAAAAUACCUUUAUCUUCAAUUCUUUGUCUUGCAGAAGAUCAUUUGCCAAAUUAAAAAAAAACUUAAAUGGUGAUUUAUUGAAGCAUGAAAUUUGGCUUUAAAAAUUUCAAUAGUAUUUGACUAAAUCUGCAUCUGAGUUGUUAGAGUUGUAGGUUCAUUGCACAAAUAUUCAUGCAUUGCUAAGUCUGGCCAUCAUUGUGGAUCUGAAAUAUCUCUGAAAGGACACUUCUUGGACCCUCCCUGUGCCCUGCCUCACCUGUGCCGUGAAUGACUUGGAAUGAUGUGCGUAGAGUAACUGUUACCACAAAUCUUCACCCCAAGGGGAAAUGAAACCCUGCAGUUUGCUCAGAACUAACCUCAUCACCUGGUCACAUUCUCUAUAUGUGAUUACAGAGUUAUGUAUGUUUAAGGUAGAAUAUAGAAUAUGCAAAGAAGGAAUGCUAAAAACAAAAUAACUCACCAAUUUUACUAGUCAAAAAAACUCUAUUAGAGAUUCAUACCUUAUAGGAUAUUUCUAUUCUGAGUUUUUACCUGACAGUAUAUUGUGAAAUAAUUAUUUCACAACAAUAUUUACAGGUCAACAUCACACAUUCUAAUGGUGAUAUUCCAAUGUGUGAUUUUAUCAUAGUUUUGGGCUAAUUCCAUUUUACUAGCUUUUUAGAUUGUUUUACUGACUGUAGUAAACAAUACUGGAAUAAACACAAAGGUAUUUGGUGUUUUUCUUGAUGACUCCUAGGAGUUUAAUAGGAGUUUACCAUUAAGUCUUUCUGAUGUGGCUCCCUGCUCAUUUCUGUGACCUUGGAGUAUAGAGCAUUUUCACUCUGCAAUUACUAAACAGUCAUAUUUUCCUUGUUUCACAAAAUUCUUUCAUAGGAAGGCUUUGCUUUAUACUUUAGUCCCAAUUAACUCCAGAUGGCUUCAAUUUUGGAUGAUUCUGCCCCACGUAUGUGCAGAGUAGCUGUCAUAUAACAUCUAAAAGAGUUAAGUCUCUGCACUAUUCUUGGUGACUCUAGGUGGGAAUUAACCUAGUGGGUUUGCUUUCAUCUGGAAUUCCAAAAAGGAAGACACUACUCUUCCUUGUGUAAGGAUGUUCUAUCCCUAUUGUACAAAUAACAAUGAUCCCAGUAAAGAGCAACUUUCCAGAAAAGAAAGUAUAAGUGUGUGUGUGCAUGGCACGCAAGUGUGUGAAGGAGAGAGAUGAGAGAGACAAUAGACUUACAUAGCCAGGUCAUCAAGUAAUUAGUUAAAAGAGUUGAAUUUGUAAAACAUAUUGGAAAGAAGGAAGUAAAGUCACCUAGAGACCAACUUUUAAUGAAGAAAAUAGAUGUAAGCAGUU